GGCAGAGGGUGGGAGGAGACGGGCUGGCCGAGGGGCAGAGAAAAGGCAGGAAGGAAGCUGAUAUAAAAAAAAAAAAAUCUAUCUUGAGAAACAAUUCCUCUCCAUCUUUAAACCUAUGAAACUCAAAAAAUAAAAUCUGCUCUUGAAAUCUAAUGAUUAGACAGGCAUAGAAUACCAGUUAUAGACAUUCUGGCUAAAAGGGGAGAAAAUUUAAAGGAAAAAAGAAGUCACUAGUUCAAAAUAUUUUCAAAAUUCAGCUGUUUAAACUUCCUUUGUAUUACAUAAAAUUAAUUAUUAUUAUAUAAAUAUUAUUUUAUUUAAUGAUGGGAUUAUAGUAUUUCUUUGUGUGUGUAAUAAAACUUGAAACAACCUUACAAUAAAUUUAAUUGCUUAAUCCUUACCUUCCUCCGAGUUAACCUGACAAGUAAACUUUGAUUGUUUUUUUCUAUAAGUAUUUUAGACAUUAAGUUGCCACAUAUUACAUGUUUAUUUUGGUUUAGCUGUGUGUUCCUGGGAUCAAUCUAGCACCAGCUUUCUUUACUGAUAUCUGACUAAAUAUUCUCAGAAUUGGAUACCUUUUUUUUUUUUUUUUUUUUUUUUUUUUGUCUUUUUAGGCCACAGGCUGGGGUCGAAUCGGAGCUGUUGCUGCUGGCCUACGCUAGAGCCACAGCAAGGCCAGAUCUAGCCAUGUCACGGCAACACCUGAUCCUUAAACCUACUGAGCAUGGCCAGGGAUUGAACCCUCAAUCUCAUGGUUCUAGUUGGAUUCGUUUCCUCUGUGCCACGACAGGAACUCCAGAAUUGGAUACCUUUAAUAUCUUCAUGGAAACUUCAUUUUGGCCUUUUGUCAAGGUCCUUAGGCAUUUGUCUACCUUGAGAGUUCCAGAAGCAACAACAUUGACAUUAACCCAUAUGGGGACCUUAGUUGAGGAGGAGGUGGCAGUACAGCAGUGGGAAGAGGACAGAUCUGUUAAUUUUUGCAUCUAUAGUUCUAUUUUUGGUAGUUUACUUAGAAAGUCACCUCCUAUCUGACUUUAUAAUGUCUUGUCCUAUUGUUUUAAUCACAGUACUAUUAAGACCUUAUUCUUAACUUUAUGUUUUUUUAAUUCAGUGAAUUUUAUGUUUAUAGUUGUAUAAUCACUAUCACAACCUAAUUUUAGAACAUUUCCAUCUGAAACUCCCAGUCCAUCUCUCCCCCUCAGUCUUUCCCCUUUAGUAAGCACAAGUUUUUCAAAGUCUGUGGAUCUGUUUCUUUUCUGCAAAUAGGUAUUUUUUUUUUUUUUUUGGUCUUUGCUAGGGCCGCACCCAUGGCAUGUGGAGGUUCCCAGGCUAGGGGUCUAAUUGGAGCUGUAGCCACCAGCCUAUGGCACAGCCACAGCGAUGAGGGAUCUGAGCCACAUCUGCAACCUACACCACAGCUCAUGGGAACGCCGGAUCCUUAACCCACUGAGUGAGGCCAGGGGCUGAAUCCUCAACUUCAUGGUUCCUAGUUGCAUUUGUUAACCACUGAGCCAUGACAGGAACUACUCAUUUUAGAUUCCACAUAUAAGUGUUUUAGCAUGUGAUGUUUGUCUCUCAUUGUCUGACUAACUUCACUUUAGCAUUAUAAUUUUUAGGCCCAUACAUGUUGCUAUAAAUGCCAUUAUUUCAUUCUUUUUUAUGGCUGAGUAAUAUGCCAUGGUAUAUAUGUAUCUCAUCUUCCUUAUCCACUCCUCUUUCGAUGGAAAUUUAGCUUUCUUCCAUUUCUUGGCUAUUGUGUACAGCACUACAAUGAACAUUGAGAUAUAUGUAUCUUUUUGAGUGAUGGUUUCCUCCAGAUAGAUGCCCAGGAGUGGGAUCAUAUGGUAGUUCUAUUUUUAGUUUUUUGAGGAACCCCCAUACUAUUUUCCAUAUUGGUUGUACCAUUUUACAUCCCUACAAACAGUGUAGGAGGGUUUCCUUUUCUCCACACCCUCUCCAGCAUUUUUUGUUUGUAGACUUUUUGAUGAUGGCCAUUCUGGCUGACCUCAUUGUAGUUUUGACUGAUAUUUCUAAAAUAAUUAGUGAUAUUGAGCACCAUUUCACGUUUUUUUUUUUUUUUUUUUUUGGUGGGGGGCAUCCCUAUACCUUCUUUGGAGAAAUGUCUGUUUAUAUCUGCCCAUUUUUUAAUUUUUUUUUUCAUAUUGAGAUGCAGGACAUGUUUUUAUAUUUUGGAGAUUAAUCCCUUGUGAGGCACUUCAUUUGCAAAUAUUUUCUCCCAUUCUGUGAGUUGUCUUUUUGUUGAGGGUUUCCUUUGCUGUGCAAAAACUUUUAAGUUUAUAUUUUAACUUUAUAUUUUAUUUCAUCAGGAAUUAAUUUUAUUAUAUACUGUCUACCAAUAUCAUUUAUUAAAAAUUCCAUUGGUUUGCUAACUGAUCUGAGAUACUUCCUAUAUCAUGCAUUUAAUACAUGUUCUUGGGCGUGUUUCUGAUUUUUAUAUGUUGUUAUACUGAUGCUUAUGUCAGUAUCAUACUGUUUUAAUUACUAUGUCUUUAGGAUAUAAGUUAAUAUUUUAUACAGCUACGCCCUCAAAUUAUCCUUCCGGUAAUGUUUUUGCAAUUCUCAUAUUUUUCUCCUGUUGUUCUCCAAAUUAACUUAUGUAUCAUUUUGCAAAAUUCUGAAGAAAAAUCCCUUUGGUGUUUUGGAUAGCUUAUACAAAUGUGUUGAUUAACUCUGGGAAAAAUGUAUCUCUUUAUGUUACUAGCUCCUUUAAUUCAGUACUGUAAUAAGAUGCUACACAUCAUAUUUGAGCCUUAAUUUACUAUCUUAUUAAAGCUUUUAAUUUUCUGUGUUUGUCAGUAUUGAAAUUAGUUAUCUUUCUCUCUGUAUGUCAUACUUUUCUUUGUUAUUUUGAAUAAUUUUUUUUCUUUCUGACAGAGUCUAAAUUUAAAUUGCUAUUGAGCUGUUAAUUCUUGAUUAUUUUUUGACUCUCUUUUACUCAUUAUAUAAUUGUUGUAAUAUUUCAGAUGAUUCAGGUGAUUAUUUUAGGCUUUCCAAGUAAAAAGUAUAUGAUAUAUAAGGGUAGUUCAGCAUUUGUCUCUUUGUUUUAAAUAACUGUAGCCAUAAAGCGUUCUUAUUUUAUGAAAAUUAAGUAGAAUAUUUGUGUUUAUUAAUAGAAGUGACUCCAGAGUUUCAUAAUUAAAAUUUUGUUUUUGGGGGGUUCUCAUUGCAGCUUAGCAGGUUAUAAACCCUAUUAGUAUCCAUGAGAAUGUGGGUUCAAUUCUUGGCCUUGCUUAGUGGGUUAAAGAUCCGGCAUUGCCUUGAGCUGUAGUGAAGGUCGCAGAUGCAGAUAGGAUCUGGUGUUGCUGUGGCUGUGGUAAAGGCUGACAGCUGGAGCCUGGAAUCAAUCCAUAGGCCAGGAACUUCCAUAUGCUGCAAGUGCAGCCCUCAAGAGCAAAAUACAUACACACAUACAUAAAUAUUAAAAAAAUAAAACUGUGUUUCUGUGUUAAGAUAGUUUUUUU
rnacentral:lncRNA from 1 species